rnacentral:rRNA from 1 species
CUAAGAAUCUUGCGCAAUGGGCGAAAGCCUGACGCAGCAAUUCCGCGUGGAGGACGAAGGCCUUCGGGUUGUAAACUCCUUUUGUGAGGGAAGAAGUUCUGACGGUACCUCACGAAUAAGACACGGCUAACUACGUGCCAGCAGCCGCGGUAAUACGUAGGUGUCGAGCGUUGUCCGGAUUUAUUGGGCGUAAAGCGCCCGCAGGCGGCCAGGCAAGUCCAGGGUGAAAUCUCCCGGCUCAACCGGGCG